CCGCUAAAAUUUGCGACGUCCUUGUCGCAACUGAAUCCAUUACAAUUGCUACCCAGGACCGGACCCUUAGGUAUUGUGGUUCGCUAGUACCUCGGGUGGCUCCACCUCGUCUCUUACGGGUAGCCCUUUCCUCGCAGGUCCACUAGCUCCGCACAAUUUAUCUGACCCAAGGUGGCUCUGAUACCAAUUGAAACAGCAGGGCCCGAACUGGCCCAAAUAACUUUUGAACCCACUUUCCAUUUGGCCCAAAAUAGUUAACCCAAGUUAUUUAGUAGUUUCGUGCUAGCUAUUAUAUAUAAAUCCAUUUUCUUCAAAUCUUCCGAUGUGGGACGGUCAGCGCCGCAAUUCCGCCAAGCAGACAGCUGACCGUUACAUUCGGUCCCGCUAAAUUUUGCGACGUCCUCGUCGCAACUGAAUCCAUUAUAAUUGCUAACCAGGACCGGACCCUUAGGUAUUGUGGUUCGCUAGUACCUCGGGUGGCUCCACCUCGUCUCUCACGGGUAGCCCUUUCCUCGCAGGUCCACUAGCUCCGCACAAUUUAUCUGACCCAGGGUGGCUCUGAUACCAAUUGAAACAGCCGAGCCCGAACUGGCCCAAAUAACUUUUGGACCCACUUUUCUACUUGGCCCAAAAUGGUUAACCCAAGUUAUUUAGUAGUUCUGUGCUAGCUAUUAUAUACAAAUCUAUUUUCUUCAAAUCUUCCGAUGUGGGACGAUCAGCGCCGCAAUUCCGCCAAGCAGGCAGCUGACCGUUACAUUCGGUCCCGCUAAAUUUUGCGACGUCCUCGUCGCAACUGAAUCCAUUACAAUUGCUAACCAGGACCGGACCCUUAGGUAUUGUGGUUCGCUAGUACCUCGGGUGGCUCCACCUCGUCUCUCACGGGUAGCCCUUUCCUCGCAGGUCCACUAGCUCCGCACAAUUUAUCUAACAUAGGGUGGCUCUGAUACCCAAUUGAAACAGCCGGGCCCGAACUGGCCCAAAUAACUUUUGAACCCACUUUCCACUUG
rnacentral:lncRNA from 1 species